GCCUUCGUGGAUCAUGGAGAUUACCCCGCUUUUAUAGGUGGUGGGCAAACGCAUUUGUAACGAGGAGAAGGAGGUUCGAUUCCUCCCGGGGGCA